rnacentral:rRNA from 1 species
UACGAAGGGGGCUAGCGUUGUUCGGAAUUACUGGGCGUAAAGCGCACGUAGGCGGACAUUUAAGUCAGGGGUGAAAUCCCAGAGCUCAACUCUGGAACUGCCUUUGAUACUGGGUGUCUUGAGUAUGGGAGAGGGUAGCGGAAUUCCCGGUGUAGUGGUGAAAUGCGUAGAUAUCGGGAGGAACACCAGUGGCGAAGGCGGCUACCUGGCC